AAUUAUAAAUUAAUUUCCCCUGAAUAACUAAAUUUACUAUAUUUUCAUAAAAAAUGAAAUUUCAAAAAAAAAUAAUAAAAAAAUUUUACUAAAAAUAGUCUUAAACCAGGAUUAGAUACCCUGUUAUUCUAUUAUUAAAAUAAUAAUUCAAAGAAUUACAACAAAAUAAAUUUGACGGUAUUAACUUUUACAAAGGAAUUUGUUUCUAAAUCGACAAUACACGACUAUCUUACUUAAUAAUUAUCUGUAUACCACCGUAUUCGAAAUUAUUUAAAAUAAAUUUCAAAACAGACUAAAACCUAAAAAAUCAGGUCAAGGUGCAAUUUUAUUAAGCUGAAAUGAAUUACAUUAAUUUAUAUUAAUUCAUAAUAACUGAAAUUUUAUUAAAAAUAGAAUUUGUUAGUAAAUUAUUAUCAUUAUGAUUUCUUGAAAACACAUAUUAAUAUG
rnacentral:rRNA from 1 species